AUGUGUGUGUAACUCUGACACACACUCACUCUCUCUCUUUCCGCCUCCGUACUUCAGGAUAGAAAUGGCAGAGCUCAGCGACAGGCAUCCAGAUGCACCUAUCAUCAUCAUCAUCAUAAUCAGCAGCAGCAGCAGCAGCAGCAAGGCACACACACACACACACACGAACACACGCGAUCAUCACUAACAUCUGCACUGCCAUAGUAUCACCAGUAUCACCAGUAUUUUUCCCAUGAACAGUUUCAGCUCUUCCCAUCUUAAAAAGAUAAUUCAGUGAAUGAGCAAAGCCACACAAAGACACACACAUACACACACACACACACAUAUUUGUCAGUCGAGUUGGUUACCAUAACAACCAAACAGUCAAAACAGGGUCACUGAGUAAAUCAGAUGAAAUGAAGCUUACAUACACGUGUACGAGUGUGCUACUGCAGAGGAGAGGCUGUAACUCUCAAACGACUGUCUAGUAUGGCUUUGACAUCUCUGAAUGUCCACUCCUGCAGUGUCCUCUCAGGACUGAUUGGACAGCGGCCUGUAGUGGGAGCCAGCCUGCUGUCCAAUCAGAGUGAGAGUUGCGUUCACAUUAAGGUGUCACGAACCCCCGGUCGUGACCCUGACCUUCCUGUUGGGAUGUGUGUGGGUGAUUGUAGUUUUGAGUUCUUUUCCCCUUGGGGCGUUUAUGGUGUGCUUGGUGUGUUUUGGUUUUUGUCUGUCUCUCUGUGUUCUGCUUCCUCCCUCAUGCUCUGGGGCUGCUGGUGGGCGUGGUUGCCUGAGCUCCUGUUGACGCACCUGAGACUCAUCCAUUUAAUCAGCACACCAGUGCCUCAGCCUACAAUCAACCCACCUUAAAAGACCAGCCCAACCUUCCAAUCCCUGCUGGAUUGUUGUACCACACACAUACCUGCCCAUGCCUGACUCGGAUUCCCUCCUGCGCCACGAAAACCAGGACUACAUGCCCCUUGGAACAACCACCCAUCUCCAAGCCACAUCUGUCUCUUUCUUGUGUUCAAUAAAUCCUUACACUGCUCA